rnacentral:rRNA from 1 species
UUUUGGACAAUGAGCGCAAGCCUUAUCCAGCCAUCCUGCGUAAGUGAUGAAGGCCUUCUGCUUUUAAUCCCCUUUCUGACGGAAAGAAAUCGCGCAGGCUAUUACCCUGCGCGUAUGACGGUACCGUCAUCAGAAGCACCUGCUAACUACUUGCUAUCACCAGCGGUAAUACGUAGGGUGCGAGCGUUAAUCGGAAUUACUGGGCGUAAAGCGUGCGCAGGCGGUUGAUUAAGACAGGCGUGAAAUCCCCGGGAUUAACAUGGGAAAUGCGCUUGUGACUGGUCAGCAAGAGUACGGCAGAGGGGGGUGGAAUUCCACGUGUAGCAGUGAAAUGCGUAGAGAUGUGGAGGAACACCGAUGGCGAAGGCAGCCCCCUGGGCCGAUACUGACGCUCAUGCACGAAAGCGUGGGUAGCAAACAGG